AGCACGGGGGGAAUCUGCUUCACUCGGUUGCCGAAUAUGUGCACACCUGAUGAUUUCUUACGGCACACUUGUGUGCCGCGGAACAGCGGUUCGGAAUCACUGGAUUGGAGCACAGUUAUGGGGCGAAUCUGAUUGGCUCCUUGUGUUUUGGCUUGAUGUAAAUCCGCCGAGUCCGCUGGCGGGACUCCGUCUCUCUGGCUCUUCGCCUGAGAUAAACACUACUUCACCUAAGAGACUUUAGUAUCCAGUUCUUCGUUGACCUUCAGCAUUCAGUUGUUUGUCUUUCCCUUUUCAGGCUAAAACCUGAGAAGCCAUCACCAUAUUGUUGUUUCAUAUCAGAGUUUCCUGUGUCCAGCAUCUUCAAGACAGACUAAGCUAACUUUUCAUAUUUUUUGCACAUUUAUAUUUAGGUUAGGUUAGGAGUAGGUUAGGUUUAUAGUAGAGUAUUUAGUUUGUAUAGUUUAGCUUUUUAUGCUGGUCUAGGGACAGUUAAGUUAGCAAAUUAAUUUAGUUGAAAUCACUUACAGUUGCAUAUUAUUGUUAUUGUGAUAUUUUGUGAGUUUUCGUUGUGCAGGCUAUUGUAUAUUGCUGGACCAAGUGAGACGAGGAAGACCACUGCUUCCAAGAUGCCGCGCUCAGAAAGUGCGUUGGACAAGUCUCGACCUUGCAGAUCCUGCCCCACUUAGCCCAACCACUUCCGACCAUUGGGUACCUCAAAGACCUCCGUCAACCAGCCGGCUGUGGAUGAUGGAUAACGCACCCACAACUCCUUCUCCAGUCUGCAAGGUUCUGAAAAUACAGACACCCCCACAGUCCAGUAACAGCUGGAUGACCUCUGGACCCACCUGCCCCCGUUCACCAGUUGAAAAGAUAGGCUUUUUAAAAAAUUCUUCAAUUGUUAAUUCUGCACAAAGUGAUACACAGAACAUUGUAUGUAUUCCAUUUCAACAAACACAAACAUGAAAUGUAUAUUUAAAUACAUGACCUGAUGCAAAUCAUACUAAACAUCAUCUUUUUUUUUUAAACCAACCAUUGCACACACUGGAGAGGUUACAUCUUGAUGGUAAUUUUAAGAUUAACAAAACUUUUGUGAGAUUUGAUAUUGUUGUUUCUGGGGAGGGGGCGGAGAGGGUAAGUCUAAAAAUUGCAUGCAAGAGACCAACACCGGCGUCUCAGGGAAAGCUAUCUGUAUACACAACUAUCAAUCUACUUGGUUGCUUAAAAAUUUUACAAUAGUUUUGCAAAUCCUGACCCAGAGAGAAGCACAUCAAACAAACAAUAAAAGCAAUGGUAGAUUUUCAAGGCCUUUCAAUGACAUUAACAUUAUUUUCAAUGACAUUGAUUUUGCAAUUAACAUUAGUUUUAUGCGCAAGGUCUCAGUGGCAGUUGCCGGUUCACGUGGUCUCAGCGGCAGAGUUACUGGUUUGCAUGGUCUCAGAGGCAGAGUUACUGGUUUGCAUGGUAUCAGCGACAAAGGUAUUGGUUCACAUGGUCUCAGCGGCAGAGUUACUGGUUCACAUGGUCUCAGCGGCAGAGUUACUGGUUCACAUGGUCUCAGCGACAGAGUCACCGGUUCACAUGGUCUCUCAGCGACAUAGUCGCCGGUUCGCAUGGUCUCGGUGGCAGUCGCUGGUUCGCAUGGUCUCAGUGGCAGUCGCAGGUUUGCAUGGUCUCAGUGGCAGUCACCGGUUUACAUGGUCUCAGUGGCAGAGUUACUGGUUUGCAUGGUCUCAGAGGCAGAGUUACUGGUUUGCAUGGUCUCAGCGACAAAGGUACUGGUUCACAUGGUCUCAGCGGCAGAGUUACUGGUUCACAUGGUCUCAGCGGCAGAGUUACUGGUUCACAUGGUCUCAGCGACAGAGUCACCGGUUCACAUGGUCUCUCAGCGACAUAGUCGCCGGUUCGCAUGGUCUUGGUGGCAGUCGCCGGUUCGCAUGGUCUCAGUAGCAGUCGCAGGUUCGCAUGGUCUCAGUGGCAGUCGCCGGUUCGCAUGCUCUCAGUUGCAGAGUUACUGGUUCACAUGGUCUCAGCGGCAGAGUUACUGGUUCGCAUGGUCUCAGCGACAGAGUCACCGGUUCACAUGGUCUCUCAGCGACAUAGUCGCCGGUUCGCAUGGUCUCGGUGGCAGUCGCCGGUUCGCAUGGUCUCAGUAGCAGUCGAAGGUUCGCAUGGUCUCGGUGGCGCAGGUUCGCAUGGUCUCAGUGGCAGUCACCGGUUUACGUGGUCUCAGCAGCAGAGUUACUGGUUUGCAUGGUCUCAGAGGCAGAGUUACUGGUUUGCAUGGUAUCAGCGACAAAGGUAUUGGUUCGCAUGGUCUCAGCGGCAGAGUUACUGGUUCACAUGGUCUCAGCGGCAGAGUUACUGGUUCACAUGGUCUCAGCGACAGAGUCACCGGUUCACAUGGUCUCUCAGCGACAUAGUCGCCGGUUCGCAUGGUCUCGGUGGCAGUCGCCGGUUCGCAUGGUCUCAGUGGCAGUCGCAGGUUUGCAUGGUCUCAGUGGCAGUCACCGGUUUAUGUGGUCUCAGCGGCAGAGUUACUGGUUUGCAUGGUCUCAGAGGCAGAGUUACUGGUUUGCAUGGUCUCAGCGACAAAGGUACUGGUUCACAUGGUCUCAGCGACAAAGGUACUGGUUCACAUGGUCUCAACGGCAGAGUUACUGGUUCACAUGGUCUCAGCGGCAGAGUUACUGGUUCACAUGGUCUUUCAGCGACAUAGUCGCUGGUUUGCAUGGUCUUGGUGGCAGUCGCCGGUUCGCAUGGUCGCAGUAGCAGUCGCAGGUUCGCAUGGUCUCAGUGACAAAGCUACUGGUUCACAUGGUCUAAGCGGCAGUUGCAGGUUCGCAUGGUCUCAGUUGCAGAGGUACUGGUUCGCAUGGUCUCAGAGGCAGAGUUACUGGUUUGCAUGGUCUCAGCGACAAAGGUACUGGUUCACAUGGUCUCAGCGGCAGAGUUACCGGUUUGCAUGGUCUCAUCGGCAGAGUCACCGGUUCACAUGGUCUCUCAGCGACAUAGUCGCCGGUUCGCAUGGUCUUGGUGGCAGUCGCCGGUUCGCAUGGUCUCAGUAGCAGUCGCAGGUUCGCAUGGUCUCAGUGGCAGUCACCGGUUUACGUGGUCUCAGCGGCAGAGUUACUGGUUUGCAUGGUCUCAGAGGCAGAGUUACUGGUUUGCAUGGUAUCAGCGACAAAGGUAUUGGUUCACAUGGUCUCAGCGGCAGAGUUACUGGUUCACAUGGUCUCAGUGACAAAGUUACUGGUUCGCAUGGUCUCAGUGGCAGUCGCAGGUUCGCAUGGUCUCAGUGGCAGUCACCGGUUUACGUGGUCUCAGCGGCAGAGUUACUGGUUUGCAUGGUCUCAGAGGCAGAGUUACUGGUUUGCAUGGUCUCAGUGACAAA